GCUCGAAUCUUGAUGAUCGGUCCAGUUGGAGCCGGCAAGUCAAGUUUUAUAACACUAUCAACUCCAUAUUCAGAGGUCGUAUUUAACACAGAGGGCAGGCAGUGGCAGCGCAGAACAAAGUUUAACGACCGCUUACACUCCUUAUUUCGUGAGAGUUCGAUCCGGGGCUAAUUUGAACUUUAAACUGUGUGACACACGUGGGUUAGAAGAAUCGCAGGGGCUAGAUGUUCUUGAAUGUAACUGCUUACUGGAAGGAAAUGUACCUGAAUAUUAUCAGUUCAAUCCAGCAGCGCCCAUUUCCGCAGACCAUGACGGUUAUAUAUCAAAACCAACUCUUGAAGAUAAAGUGCAUUGUGUGGUUUUUGUUCUAGAUUCUACUACACUUGAAGUUUUGCCAGCCAAAAUUCUACAAAAAAUGAAAAGUUUCCAAACACUUAUGAACCAAAAAGGUAUUUUAU